rnacentral:rRNA from 1 species
AUGGCGGCCAUGCCGUCGUCGGUGGUGGCGGAGCUGGAGGGCACGCUGCUGCGCGACGCCUGCACCUUCCCCUACUUCAUGCUCGUGGCGUUCGAGGCGUCCGGCCUGCCGCGCUUCGCCGCGCUGCUGGCGCUCUGGCCGGCGCUGCGCCUGCUGGAGCUGCUGCUGGGCCGGGGCGGCCUGGCGCUGCGCUGCGCGGCGUUCGUGGCCACGGCCGGGGUGCCGCGGGCGGAGCUGGAGGCCGUGGCGCGCGCCGUGCUGCCCAAGUUCAUGGCCGACGACGUCGACCCCACCGCGUGGGCGGCCUUCGGGGCCUGCGAGGGGAGGCGCGUCGUCGUCACCCGCAUGCCCCGGGUCAUGGUCGAGUGGUUCGCCAGGGAGCACCUCGGCGCGCACGACGUCGUCGGCUGCGACGUCGAGUACAGCCGGCUCAGGCGGUGCACCGGGCUCCUCAAGGGCGGCCGCGACGAGGCCGUCGCCGAACGCGUGCGCGCGCUUUUCCGGGACGGCGACCGGCCGGACCUCGGUCUGGGCCGGUCGGAAAUGGCACGAUCGUUCUUGCCCUUGUGCAAGGAGCAACUCCAGCCGCCGUUCUCCGCGGACGACGACGACGUGGCGAAGCGACCGAAGUGCCCUCCGUUUCGCCCGGUCAUCUUCCACGACGGUCGGCUCGUGCGCCGGCCGACGGCGCUCAUGUCCAUCGCCAUCCUCCUCUGGAUCCCCCUCGGCGUCCUCCUCGCCAUCGUCCGCAUCACGCUCGGCAUCGUCCUCCCCAUCCAGGCCCUCCCCUACGUCGCCCCCUUCGUCGGCGGCGCCGUCAUCACGCGCGGCCGGCCCCCCGCCCCGACUACCGGCGCCAACGGCUCGCCCACGGGCGUCCUCUUCGUCUGCACGCACCGCACGCUCAUGGACCCGGUGGCGCUCGCGUUCGUGCUCGGCCGGCGCGUGGCCGCCGUGACCUACUCCCUCUCCCGGCUCUCGGAGGUCCUGUCGCCGAUCCCGACGGUGCGGCUGACGCGCGACCGCGACACGGACGCGGCGCGGAUGCGGGCGGAGCUGGCGCGGGGCGACGUGGCGGUGUGCCCCGAGGGCACCACCUGCCGGGAGCCCUUCCUGCUCCGCUUCUCGGCGCUGUUCGCGGAGCUGAGCGACCGGAUCGUCCCCGUGGCGACCAACUACCGCGUGGGGCUCUUCCACCCGACGACGGCGCGGGGGUGGAAGGCCAUGGACCCCAUCUUCUUCUUCAUGAACCCGCGGCCGGUGUACGAGGUGACGUUCCUGAACCAGCUCCCCGCCGAGGCGACGUGCGCCGCCGGGAGGAGCCCCGUCGACGUCGCCAACUACGUGCAGAGGAUACUCGCGGCCACGCUGGGGUUCGAGUGCACCACCUUCACCCGCAAGGACAAGUACCGGGUGCUCGCCGGCAACGACGGCAUCGUCGGCGCCAAGGCCGCCGCGACGGCGACGGCGGCGACCAAGCCAGGAUGGCAGCGCCGGGUCAGGGAGGUGCUCGGGUUCUUGCGCUUCACCAAGAUCGAUUAA